rnacentral:lncRNA from 1 species
CCCGGCAUCCCAGCCCCACCAGCACCCGGGAGUGGAGCAAUGCGGGCAGAUGGGGGCCAAGUGCAGUCUCUGGAGACAAGAUGGGAGUUGCUGUCCUUUCCUGCCUGCCCUCAGGAGAGAUCGCUCCCCACUUCUCAGAGUCCUCCUCAAUCUGGGAUGAGAAGAAAGAGCACUGACUACACUGAGCAUUCCUGCACCAUGCUGGCUGGAUCCUGGACCUCCCUCUGUCUUCUUCCCCUCAUCUGGCAAAUGGGUACAAUGUCCCCUUUAAGCACUCUGAGGCAUUUCUCUGAGGGUGAAGUGAGACGGUGCGUUUUAAAAAUUCAUACCCACUUCAUUCCACAGUGCAUUUGGGGCAGCUUCUAAAAAUACCUGUGUUAUAAAGAGAUAAAAAUAAAUACUGUGUGAGAUCAUUUUACAAUUGUACUCUGAGCACGUUUCCCUAUUAUCGCUUGUAGAGGCGUAGAAG